UACGUAGGGAGCAAGCGUUGUCCGGAAUCAUUGGGCGUAAAGCGCGCGUAGGCGGCCCCGUAAGUCCGCUGUGAAAGUCAAAGGCUCAACCUUUGAAAGCCGGUGGAUACUGUGGGGCUAGAGUCCGGAAGAGGCGAGUGGAAUUCCUGGUGUAGCGGUGGAAUGCGCAGAUAUCAGGAGGAACACCAAUAGCGAAGGCAGCUCGCUGGGACGGUACUGACGCUAAGGCGCGAAAGCGUGGGGAGCGAACCGG
rnacentral:rRNA from 1 species